GACGAACGCUGGCGGCGUGCUUAACACAUGCAAGUCAAGGGGGCCCGCAAGGGUAACCGGCGAACGGGUGCGUAACACGUGAGCAAUCUGCCUCGAUGUGGGGAUAGCCGGCCCAACGGCCGGGUAAUACCGCAUACGCUCUCUGGGUGGCAUCACUUGGAGAGGAAACAUUUUUGGCAUUGAGAGGAGCUCGCGGCCUAUCAGCUAGUUGGUGGGGUAAUGGCCUACCAAGGCUUUGACGGGUAGCUGGUCUGGGAGGAUGGCCAGCCACAUUGGGACUGAGAUACGGCCCAGACUCCUACGGGAGGCAGCAGUGGGGGAAUAUUGCGCAAUGGCCGAAAAGGCUGACGCAGCGUCGCCGCGUGGGGGAGUGAAGCAUUCGGUGUGUAAACCCCU
rnacentral:rRNA from 1 species